CGACUUUUUCUGUCGGUUGUUCAGGUUCGGGGAAGGAUGAUUUGCACCGAUUUGCAAAUCAUUUCCAUCCGAAAGAUACCAUCAAGCUUUGUAGGACUGCUGACAGCACUUGUUAUAAGCAAGCAAGAUUUUACACCGGCAUCCGAUCAACCGAUCAGCUCUUAACUAUUGCUAUCUGCUUCCAUCCGACAGCUGCUUGGUUUAUCGGUGGUCCGGUUGCACGAAAAUAAAUGCGUCAGAUGAUAUUGUCGGGAAGCAUCCGGAAUUGAAGAUCUCGAUUUCGUUGCUGUGGAAGUUUUCGACCAAAGUAUAUGAGUGCGUUCGCGAAUACCGCUACCCGAAUCCAUCAGUUCAUGGCCAACCGGCCGCAAUACAGCUACCAGAUGUGCCGCCCGGGA